rnacentral:lncRNA from 1 species
CAGACUCCAGUCCAGGCUCCAGACUCCAGACCAGGCUCCAGACCAGACUCCAGACCAGACUCCAGACCAGGCUCCAGACCAGACUCCAGACCAGACUCCAGACCAGGCUACAGACACCAGACCAGACUCCAGACUAGGCUCCAGACCAGGCUCCAGACCAGACUCCAGACCAGACUCCAGACCAGGCUCCAGACUCCAGACCAGGCUCCAGACCAGACUCCAGACCAGGCUCCAGACCAGGCUCCAGACCAGACUCCAGACCAGACUCCAGACCAGGCUCCAGACUCCAGACCAGGCUCCAGACCAGACUCCAGACCAGGCUCCAGACCAGACUCCAGACCAGACUCCAGACUCCAGACUCCAGACCAGACUCCAGACUCCAGACCAGACUCCAGACCAGACUCCAGACUCCAGAGUCACGUCAAGCUCUGUUACAGAGGACCGGUGUUGUCACCCAGAUUACCUGGGACUGAUACAUAGAGACACA